CCGUAGCGUAUAAUUUCUACUUGGAUCAUGAAUCUUUUCCUUAAUGGAUGCCUUUUAUUUCAUCCGUAGAGCCUACUCCUAAUCAAAAGAUUCAUUGAAGAUCUCUUGAAGGUCUUCCUAAUAAGUAAUCAAAGAGACCAAGAGACACACAACAGAUAACAAAGAUUACAAAUUGCAGAGGUUCUUGCUUGCUUUUUAAUUUGCAGAGGUGUUAUAACUUGAGGAUUUUAAAAUUGAUUCGCACAAGGACGCCAAAGAAAAGCAUCUUUACAAACUGAUCUUUUACAUGAGUUUAUCGUAUGAAGCAUCUUUCAAGUGCGAAAAACAUGAACCGCUGAGCUGGGAUUUGAGAGUAUAUAUUGCUUUAGACGUAGCACGCGGUCUAGAGUAUCUUCACGAUGGAAGGAGAGAUCCCCAAGACUA